rnacentral:pre_miRNA from 1 species
UCUUAUGGAUGAGCAAAGAAAAUGGUUUCCUGAGAUGGAAACUACUCCAGGUGAAGUUGCUAUGAA